CGUUUUGCUAAAAUCCAUUUUAUGUUUUUAGUCAUGAGUAAUUAACUGAUCUUUAGGUUCCCUUUGUGUGCAUAUAUAACGUUUAUAGAUCUGACUUCCAUUAGACUAAAUUACAAAAUAUAUUGUUUGGAGUGACUUAAGUUGAUGAGACCGAUACAAGACUAGUGGCAUUCAUGGAAAGUGUUUAAAAAAUGGGGACAUAGCAUAAAGUGGUUUCUGUGAGAAUUACAGGAGGGGAGCGCUUAACCCUGGGGGGGUCGUUUAUCCCCAAGCCACCCUACCAUAAGACAACUGUUCUAACCAGAGAAAUGUUGCCCUUCCUGCCAUGAAAGGUCCUGUGAAUGUUAGGUGGUUGGAGCUUAGUGUUUCUGUGUUGACACGACUGCAAACCCUGCCUACAAGUCCAGGUCUUAUUCACAAUCAAAGGACUCACGUUAACUUCAACAGGACGUCACUGUGCCUGCGACUUGUGUGUCUGCUGUUCUCAGCACAUGACAUGGUGUUGCUGUUUCUGCAGUCCCAGAUCAGCAUGAGGACCAGUAAGUGUCUGCUGACCACAGUGACAAAGAUUACAACUCUAAGCAGAAGUAAGUGGGUGAAAGGAGUGCCCUAGGGAUGCUGAACAGCUACCCACACAUCAUUGAUUGCUGCAAGAACGUGACAUUUACAUUGGAACCAUUCAGCUCUGGGGGACCAGAACUCUCCUGAAGUAAAUUCUAUCUAUCACCUGUCAUUGAACUGUUGUCUAUUAAAAUAUGAUGGUUAUUUGGGGGAA